UGUGGACGCAUUAGACUAAUGGUAAGCAAAAAACAUAAACGACUUCGAGAGUUCACACUACGCACCGCUUUACCAUUGUCUUUGCUUUCUUUUGCUGGCUGUUUUUAGUAACAAACUUGUGUUCUAAACGACCUUCUUUCUAAAUCAUAACCAAAAGCGAAGAUACUGGUUCCGAAGUGGGAGAUGUGAGUUUACUUCCGUCAUGGAAAAAGCUGUAAAAAUCGCAUUAAUUCUUAACAUUUACAUUAACUUUUCUUUUU